rnacentral:rRNA from 1 species
UACGUAGGGUGCAAGCGUUGUCCGGAAUUAUUGGGCGUAAAGAGCUCGUAGGCGGUUUGUCGCGUCUGCUGUGAAAUCCCUCGGCUUAACCGGGGAACUGCGUCUGAUACUGGAUGGCUUGAGUUCGGGAGAGGGAUGCGGAAUUCCAGGUGUAGCGGUGAAAUGCGUAGAUAUCUGGAGGAACACCGGUGGCGAAGGCGGCAUCCUGGACCGACACUGACACUGAGGAGCGAAAGCCAGGGGAGCAAACGGG